UGGGGAAUAUUGCGCAAUGGGGGGAACCCUGACGCAGCCAUGCCGCGUGAAUGAAGAAGGCCUUAGGGUUGUAAAGUUCUUUCGGUAUUGAGGAAGGUUGAUGUGUUAAUAGCACAUCAAAUUGACGUUAAAUACAGAAGAAGCANUGGCUAACUCCGUGCCAGCAGCCGCGGUAAUACGGAGGGUGCGAGCGUUAAUCGGAAUAACUGGGCGUAAAGGGCACGCAGGCGGUUAUUUAAGUGAGGUGUGAAAGCCCCGGGCUUAACCUGGGAAUUGCAUUUCAGACUGGGUAACUAGAGUACUUUAGGGAGGGGUAGAAUUCCACGUGUAGCGGUGAAAUGCGUAGAGAUGUGGAGGAAUACCGAAGGCGAAGGCAGCCCCUUGGGAAUGUACUGACGCUCAUGUGCGAAAGCGUGGGGAGCAAACAGGAUUAGAUACCCUGGUAGUCCACGCUGUAAACGCUGUCGAUUUGGGGGUUGGGGUUUAACUCUGGCGCCCGUAGCUAACGUGAUAAAUCGACCGCCUGGGGAGUACGGCCGCAAGGUUA
rnacentral:rRNA from 1 species